rnacentral:rRNA from 1 species
UUGAACGCUGGCGGCAGGCCUAACACAUGCAAGUCGAACGGUAGCACAGAGAGCUUGCUCUCGGGUGACGAGUGGCGGACGGGUGAGUAAUGUCUGGGAAACUGCCCGAUGGAGGGGGAUAACUACUGGAAACGGUAGCUAAUACCGCAUAACGUCGCAAGACCAAAGAGGGGGACCUUCGGGCCUCUUGCCAUCGGAUGUGCCCAGAUGGGAUUAGCUUGUAGGUGAGGUAACGGCUCACCUAGGCGACGAUCCCUAGCUGGUCUGAGAGGAUGACCAGCCACACUGGAACUGAGACACGGUCCAGACUCCUACGGGAGGCAGCAGUGGGGAAUAUUGCACAAUGGGCGCAAGCCUGAUGCAGCCAUGCCGCGUGUAUGAAGAAGGCCUUCGGGUUGUAAAGUACUUUCAGCGGGGAGGAAGGGAGUGAGGUUAAUAACCUUAUUCAUUGACGUUACCCGCAGAAGAAGCACCGGCUAACUCCGUGCCAGCAGCCGCGGUAAUACGGAGGGUGCAAGCGUUAAUCGGAAUUACUGGGCGUAAAGCGCACGCAGGCGGUCUGUCAAGUCGGAUGUGAAAUCCCCGGGCUCAACCUGGGAACUGCAUUCGAAACUGGCAGGCUGGAGUCUUGUAGAGGGGGGUAGAAUUCCAGGUGUAGCGGUGAAAUGCGU